rnacentral:lncRNA from 1 species
UAAACAUGUAACGGCUAUGUAAAUGACUUUAAAGGGCAUUUGGAAUAGGUAAGUCUCACACAGCUGUGAGCCUGUUCUGUGUAAAGCCUGCAGGAGACAGAACUGCAUCAGGAGCCUGGGCUGCUUGUCAGGAAGGCAGGCAUCCCUGUGGAGAGAGGCCGCAGCCUGCAGUGCAGUCAGCUACCAAAUAAGGAGGCACCCGAGCUAUAAAUAGCUGUUAAGACAAGCUGAGGCGUGCCCUGACUUUAAGGUCAGCUCAGCUGUUAGCUGCUUGGCAGACAUGGGGGCAACAGCUAACUCUCGUCUCCUCCCUCCUCAAGCACCCCCUUGUUUUGCACAGGGCUCCAGCUCCUCCCUGCCUCCUGAAUCGGACAAUGUCACCAUCAACUGAAGGCCCUGGACCAGGCUUCCAGGUCAUCCAUCCUGGGAAAGGCCAAGACAACCAGUUUGCCAUUGAGAUGCCAGCUGGGGCCGUGUGCGAUGGCUCACAUCUGUAAUCCCAGCACUUUGGGAGGCCGAGGAAGGCGGAUCACCUGAGUUCAGGAGUUCCAGACCAGCCUGGUCAACAUGGUGAAACCCCGUUUCUACUAAAAAUACAAAAAAAUUAACCUGGCGUGGUGGCAUGCACCUGUAAUCCCAGCUACUCGGGAGGCUGAGGCAUGAGAAUCACUUUAACCCGGGAGGCAGAGGCUGCAGUGAGCUGAGAUCAUGCCACUGCACGCCAGCCUGGGUAACAGAGCAAGACUCCGUCUCAAAAAAAAAAAAAAAAGAGAGAGAUGCCAGUUGGCUGGGCUUGGCAUAACAUGAAAAGGGGAUGAUGACUUUUUUUUGAAGAUUAUUGCUUUUUCUCAGCAAUGUGCACAGUUUAAAUGGAAAGGGAUCAGGUUGUGCCAGCCCCAAGCAAUGCACUUUGGCAUAGGAUUAUUUUGAGCUGAAAGAAAUUGAGGAUCAACAGAUGGAAGAAGGUCUCUGCCCUCUUCUUAGCCAACCAAGAGCAGAGCAGAAACUUCCCUCGGUGGUAUGAAUUUCCCUUGUGAAGGUGCCUCCCUUCUUGUACCAGAAAGAGGAGAGCCGCUCUUAUCACCAGAGACAGAGAGCUGGCAGCAGGGUGAGUCUGCAUAAACAAGCCUGGUGAAAAUAACCCUUGUCUGCCAUUAGUUUCUCCUGUAUUCCUAGUCACUUUCCCACAAGUAGUCAAUCAACCCUUGAAGCCCAAACCCCCUUUCUUUUGUUAAAAUGGUAUAUAAGCCCCAGAGUCUAAGCGACCUUCUUUGAGUUUCAAUUUUCUGUGAACUCCUGUGCUCAUAAAUAUUAAUUAAAAAUUUAUGCUUUGGGGGCUUGGUGAAGUGGCUCAUGCCUGCUACCCCAGCACUUUGGGAGGCCAAGGCGGGUGGAUCAUUUGAGGUCAGGAG